rnacentral:rRNA from 1 species
UACGUAGGGGGCAAGCGUUGUCCGGAAUCAUUGGGCGUAAAGAGCGUGUAGGCGGUUCGGUAAGUCGGCUGUGAAAGUCCAGGGCUCAACCCUGGGAUGCCGGUCGAUACUGCCGGACUAGAGCUCGGAAGAGGCGAGUGGAAUUCCCGGUGUAGCGGUGAAAUGCGCAGAUAUCGGGAGGAACACCUAUGGCGAAGGCAGCUCGCUGGGACGUUACUGACGCUGAGACGCGAAAGCGUGGGGAGCAAACAGG